UUCCACGGUGCAGAGACGCGAAAGGCAGGAGCUGCCUCGCGACCGCCACUAGCCCCCUAGCACGCACGUGCUCCGGAACCAGCUGGAACGGGCGCGCGAGUUACGGGAAAGGCGUUUGGGUCUGGAGACGGUACUGAGAGAAGAUGGGACGGCUCCUUCCUGGGAAAGGAGCCGCCAGGUGCUCAAAUCCACCAAUCCGUGAACAAUCCCCCAGUCCUUGCUGCCCCCCAGCCACCGGUGAAAAGGAGCCAAUCAGAAGUACCUAGACAAAAGCCAAUUGAGUGGGCGGAGAAAAGAAGUCCAGCCAAUACCAAGAAGAAGAAAAGAAUAUUAACCAAUAUCACCCCAAUAUAUUCAAUAAAAAUUUUU